AGUAAGUCUUCUCCCCUUUUUUCCCCCCCAGAUGAAAGCAAUGGAAGUUGGUCCGUGGCUGGAGCAUGCACCAACAUGACCAAAAGAUGUCCCAAGAGCACGGUUUCUAGCAUGUUUUGCCGGAAGUUUGGGAUCUCACAGAGAUAGCCCUGUGUGGUGAAAGCCUCUAAGUAUGAGAAGGUCAUGUAGGAAGAAGCCACCAAGUGCUGAUUGCACAGCUGAGAAAAUGUAACUAAUCUUCAGUGAAAUGAUGAAAAUCCUUCAGGAAGAAUUGUUAGGAGCAGCCUGAGAGCAAUGCCUGUCUAUUGAAACACUCCUCCUUAUUUAAAAGAUGGACUAUUAAGCCUCUGUGUAGUAAGACAAAGUGCAUUUAACUGCAUUGUGGCAGUGUCUGGUAAUGUUUAUAUAGACAAAAAUUAAAUAUUUAUGUUUCUGUUCUCAGAUUUCUGUCUUUUUCAAGCUUUAGUAACAAUUGCUUCUGUUUCAGAGUUCAGACUUCCUUGUGUUAUUGCUGAGAUACCAGUGCACCCCUUUGGAUGAAACAAAGCCUAGGAGUGAGCUGGGAUGAGAUGACUUAAAUCAUAGUCUCCUGUAGUAUGUGGAGAUAGGGUUGGCUGAGAUGUGUAUUUGUAGUGAGCCAAAGUAGAAAUUUAAAAAAGUAGAAGUUCAGCAAACCUGGCUUUAAAAAUAGCAUGAAAGGUGUUUAUUCAACAUGGAGAAUGGCAAGCUUGGUUUAUUAUCACCUUGACCAGCUAUGUCAUGUGGUACUUCAGCAUAACUUGGAGUGAAAGGCUCUUAAGAUUGGGAUUGCUGUUUAUUUUACUAGGAAAACUUAACAUGUUUUAUCAGAAGAACAAAUAUUUAAAUUGUGUAUCUUGCAAUGUGUGAUUUUUCAGUGCUGAAUGUAAGCAUAUUUCUAAUUCUAAGUGUAAGGUUGUUUUUAAUUUGUCAAGCAAGAAGGUUUAGACAAGAGUAAUUAAUUUUUAGAGAUCCAGCUUGUAAUUGUGGGAUGUACUUGAAAGUUUAGGGGUUUUAUUAGGGAUUACGUUCCCUGAAGAUACCAUCUGUUCAGAAGUUCUGCUCAUGGGCCUUUGUUCUUGAAGUGUAAGACCCAACAGAAGUAGCUUUUUUAAACUCAAAAAAAAAAAUCUCAAGAGCAACAGCUAGUGACAGGACUUGAUGAUUGGUAUCUAAAAGGAUAAUUACCUUUCAACCAAAAAUAUGUAUAACCCUCAGCUUUAAUGUGAAAUACAGGUGUUAUAGUGGGGUAGAGCAAGAGAAGUGAGGUAGAGGGAGCAGUAGGUGGCAUGCAAGCAUCACAGAUUACUUAAAUAAUAACGUUGUUAAAUGUGAAGUAUGAUGUUAAACAUUAGGACUGCCUUUUAUUUUGUAUGACUGGUUAACUGAAUUGCACCUUUAAAAAAACAGACUAGUGAGAAUCUGCUCAGCAAUAAAAUCUGAAGAGAAAGGAUAAGGAAUUUGUAUUCUGGAACAAGUUACUACAUGUACUGAAGCUCUACUUUGCAGGAGCUGGAUGCAGACCAUGUGCUCCUGGGAAGUAGAAAAGUAAAUCUUUUGGAGUUUGGGUUUUUUUUUGCUUUUGCUUCUGCUUUGUUAAACUCCUUUAUCUUGACCCACAAGGAUUUUUUCUGUAUAAUUCCCUUGCCCAUCCUGUUAAGGAGGGGAGUGAUAGAGCAGCUUGGUGGGCACCUGGUGUCCAGCCAAAGUCACCAUACCACAGCUCUUAUUCAGGAGAACAAAUACAGGAAAACAAGAGGCACAUUCAGGACACAGUGUCUGCCACACUGGCUCUGUAUCUGUGUGUUUGCUUUGACAGCUUACACAGUCUGUUGUUGCUCUCUGGUGAUUUUUAGGUGAGAAAGGAAACUGGUAUAGAUGUGCACUGGAAAUGCAAAGCUUACACUGACAACUUCCUGCUACAAGAUAAAAUACUUAAUCAUGGAGAAGCUGUAUCCUCAAGUGGAUUUUAAUUGGUACUACACCUGUUUUUACCAGAUGGUGGUGUCAAAUGAAUCUGUGUUUCUGAAGGCUUUGCUCCUUAGUGUAAUGUAAAUAAAGACACACAGGCAACCAUGCAAUGCCCUAAAAAAUUCAAGUUUUACUUGACUUUUAAAUAACCUGGAUACAAGUAUUGACACAGCCAUCUAUCAAAUUCAUUUUAAAAUAAAGCACACAGUUGCUUCAUGGAUACCUAAUGUACAUGGAACAAAUGUAUGACAUUGUUAUAUUCAAGUCUGUUGUCGUCAAACACCUUUCUAGGGAGUUCUGAAUUAAACAAAUCUUCCCAAAAGAAAACAUGCUAUCUCUUCCAGUCAAUAUCCACCUGUAUAAAGAGAAUGAAUUUGGCAACUUAAAUGGUAAUGACUUUGUAACAAACAUCAUCAAUAUCAUGAGCUUGGU
rnacentral:lncRNA from 1 species